CUUGCGCUAAUAGAUGAGCCUAAGUCAGAUUAGCUAGUUGGUGGGGUAAAGGCCUACCAAGGCGACGAUCUGUAGCGGGUCUGAGAGGAUGAUCCGCCACACUGGGACUGAGACACGGCCCAGACUCCUACGGGAGGCAGCAGUGGGGAAUAUUGGACAAUGGGCGAAAGCCUGAUCCAGCCAUGCCGCGUGUGUGAAGAAGGCCUUUUGGUUGUAAAGCACUUUAAGCGAGGAGGAGGCUACYUAGAUUAAUACUCUWGGAUAGUGGACGUUACUCGCAGAAUAAGCACCGGCUAACUCUGUGCCAGCAGCCGCGGUAAUACAGAGGGUGCGAGCGUUAAUCGGAUUUACUGGGCGUAAAGCGUGCGUAGGCGGCUUUUUAAGUCGGAUGUGAAAUCCCUGAGCUUAACUUAGGAAUUGCAUUCGAUACUGGGAAGCUAGAGUAUGGGAGAGGAUGGUAGAAUUCCAGGUGUAGCGGUGAAAUGCGUAGAGAUCUGGAGGAAUACCGAUGGCGAAGGCAGCCAUCUGGCCUAAUACU
rnacentral:rRNA from 1 species